UACGUAGGGUGCAAGCGUUGUCCGGAAUUAUUGGGCGUAAAGAGCUCGUAGGCGGUCUGUCGCGUCUGCUGUGAAAACUCGGGGCUUAACCCCGGGCCUGCAGUGGGUACGGGCAGACUAGAGUGCGGUAGGGGAGACUGGAAUUCCUGGUGUAGCGGUGAAAUGCGCAGAUAUCAGGAGGAACACCAGCGGCGAAGGCGCUGCUCUGGGCCGGUACUGACGCUGAGGAGCGAAAGCGUGGGGAGCGAACAGG
rnacentral:rRNA from 1 species